AGAAUCAACGCUGGCGGCGUGCCUCAGACAUGCAAGUCGAACGCGAAAGUCCCCUUCGGGGGCAAGUAGAGUGGCGCACGGGUGAGUAACACGUAGGUAAUCUACCUUCGGAUGGGGAAUAACAAUCGGAAACGAUUGCUAAUACCGCAUAAUGCAGCGGCACCUAAUGGUGACAGUUGUUAAAGCGGGGGAUCGAAAGACCUCGCGUCUGAAGAGGAGCCUGCGGCGGAUUAGCUAGUUGGUAAGGUAAUGGCUUACCAAGGCUACGAUCC
rnacentral:rRNA from 1 species